GAUGAACGCUGGCGGCGUGUCUAAUACAUGCAAGUCGAGCGAACAGACGAGGAGCUUGCUCCUCUGACGUUAGCGGCGGACGGGUGAGUAACACGUGGAUAACCUACCUAUAAGACUGGGAUAACUUCGGGAAACCGGAGCUAAUACCGGAUAAUAUAUUGAACCGCAUGGUUCAAUAGUGAAAGACGGUUUUGCUGUCACUUAUAGAUGGAUCCGCGCCGCAUUAGCUAGUUGGUAAGGUAACGGCUUACCAAGGCAACGAUGCGUAGCCGACCUGAGAGGGUGAUCGGCCACACUGGAACUGAGACACGGUCCAGACUCCUACGGGAGGCAGCAGUAGGGAAUCUUCCGCAAUGGGCGGAAGCCUGACGGAGCAACGCCGCGUGAGUGAUGAAGGUCUUCGGAUCGUAAAACUCUGUUAUUAGGGAAGAACAAAUGUGUAAGUAACUAUGCACGUCUUGACGGUACCUAAUCAGAAAGCCACGGCUAACUACGUG
rnacentral:rRNA from 1 species